rnacentral:lncRNA from 1 species
GAAGCAACUUAGCAGCAGCAGCAGCAGCAGCAGCAGCAGCAGCAGCAGAGUGCAUCCUAGGCACUCAAAUGGUAUCUAGGGAAUUAUUCACACUGCAUAGCAGUUUAAAGCUAAAGACUACCUUGGAACUGAGGAAUUCCAGCAGAGGGUCACUUUCUGAAAAUGUUGCUCUAUCACGGUGAAGGCCUUGGCCUGGCUCCCUGGCUGAGAUUCCUCACCCAGAAUCCCCACCUCUAAUGCCUGCCCUUCAAAACUCCUUCCCAGCUGGGUUUGAAAGAAAUGCCCGAAGAGCCCAUUCAGUUCUCAUGUUUCUGGAGGCACCACCCAGUCGGCUCAGAGAAUUAUCUUGAAAUGCUUUGAGAUCUGUAUUCACUUCACAUAUUUUUCAAUGGUUUGGCAUCCAUCAGGCAAGGGGACAGGCAUAGUAGUUCCCGGGGUGAGUGAGACAGGCUUGGAGCCCACCCUCAAGGAGCUUAUGAUCUAGUGAGGAAGACAC